UACGUAGGGGGCGAGCGUUGUCCGGAUUUAUUGGGCGUAAAGAGCGUGUAGGCGGCCAGGUAGGUCUGCUGUGAAAACUCGAGGCUCAACCUCGAGACGUCGGCGGAAACCAUCUGGCUAGAGUCCGGAAGAGGAGAGUGGAAUUCCUGGUGUAGCGGUGAAAUGCGCAGAUAUCAGGAAGAACACCCGUGGCGAAGGCGGCUCUCUGGGACGGUACUGACGCUGAGACGCGAAAGCGUGGGGAGCGAAUAGG
rnacentral:rRNA from 1 species